AGAGUUUGAUCAUGGCUCAGAUUGAACGCUGGCGGCAUGCUUUACACAUGCAAGUCGAACGGUAACGCGGGGGCAACCCUGGCGACGAGUGGCGAACGGGUGAGUAAUACAUCGGAACAUGUCCUGGAGUGGGGGAUAGCUCGGCGAAAGCCGGAUUAAUACCGCAUACGCUCUGAGGAGGAAAGCGGGGGACCCGCAAGGGCCUCGCGCUGCAGGAGUGGCCGAUGUCGGAUUAGCUAGUUGGUGAGGUAAAGGCUCACCAAGGCGACGAUCCGUAGCUGGUCUGAGAGGAUGAUCAGCCACACUGGGACUGAGACACGGCCCAGACUCCUACGGGAGGCAGCAGUGGGGAAUUUUGGACAAUGGGGGCAACCCUGAUCCAGCCAUGCCGCGUGAGUGGAGAAGGCCUUCGGGUUGUAAAGCUCUUUCGGACGGAACGAAAUGGUUACAGUGAAUAACUGUGAUUGAUGACGGUACCGUAAGAAGAAGCACCGGCUAACUACGUGCCAGCAGCCGCGGUAAUACGUAGGGUGCGAGCGUUAAUCGGAAUUACUGGGCGUAAAGCGUGCGCAGGCGGUUCGCCAAGUCAGGUGUGAAAUCCCCGGGCUUAACCUGGGAAUUGCGCUUGAAACUAGCGGGCUUGAGUGUGGCAGAGGGGGGUGGAAUUCCACGUGUAGCAGUGAAAUGCGUAGAGAUGUGGAGGAACACCGAUGGCGAAGGCAGCCCCCUGGGUCAACACUGACGCUCAUGCACGAAAGCGUGGGGAGCAAACAGGAUUAGAUACCCUAGUAGUCC
rnacentral:rRNA from 1 species